CUCACAUGGGUCAUAUUCCGUGUUCAAAGUUACUGUGUUACCAAGGUGGAGAAAACAAAAAAUGGAUCACUGUACUUGGAAAAGUGGCAUGCACUGACAAGACCUAUAAUGAAGUUGCAGCAUGUUCCAUAGACAAAUACAGAAUCUGACUUCUAUGAGGUGAAUUUGUCAAAAAAAAGGCAGAUUCUUCACUGUUUGAGCCACCAGGGAAGCCCUUACAAUGUUUAAUGAACUAUUAAUUGAAAUAUCGUUACUUGGUCAUAGAGAAAUACAAAUGUAUUUUUCUUUCUCACUGCAUUCCUUCAAAUUAAGAAAAAAUAUAACAGGUGAUGAUUGCUUGGACUCCAGAUAGCUUCAGAUUAUAUACCAUAAGAAGUAUUUGAAAUGCAUACAGUGUAAUAGCAUUCUUUUUAUAUAUUCAUGUCUGUCCAAAAGUUUCCAUUUGAAAGAAAAUAUUAUCAACCUAUUGCUGCUGCUUCAUACGUGGUUCACCCAUUCAUCAUCACUAACAUACUAUGGGAUGCAGAGUGACUCUGAAAUCUUUCCCCAAACCUAUGUUUUGAGAAAUCUGACAGAUUAUUUUGACUCCCAGGGAUUGAAACUUUGAUGAGGAGAAGAAUUCCUCACAAUAUCAGCAGACACACACAACACACACACUUGUGUGUACAUAUGCACACUAUUCAUAUGUAAGUAAAACUUUGGGUUAAAUACUGAAUCUGUAUAUUCUACCUGUGUGCCCAUGAAUCACUUGCAUAAAAACUUUCUGAGCCUUGAUGUAUUUGUUUUCAAAUGUCUGGAGAUAAUUAUAUCGGCCUCAGAAGAUCUUUGGAAGGACUUAAUGUCUUUCUAAACAUUACUUCAUUAACAGAAUGCCUGAGUCACAGUAAGUGCUCAAUAAAUUAGUAGUAGUUGUUUGCAAAUUGAGUAAAGAAAAUAAAUGUUAACUCCAAAAUCACUUCACUGUAACACCUAAAGAGAAUAACAAUUUUGAGCAGAGAUUAUAGUUUAUUGCUUCAUCAGUAAAAGUAUACUUUCAAAACUAC
rnacentral:lncRNA from 1 species